GAAACCUGAAGAACCAACGGUUGAAGAUACAUCUGAAGAGCUAGUUGUUGAAGAGAAAGAUGAAAAGCCAGCAAUUGAAGAGGAGGAACCUGAAAUGGAAGCUCUUAAGGAGAAGAAUUUUCCAAUUGUAAACUCAAAGAACACAAUAGACAAUGCAAUUCCAUGCAAUACAAACAAUGACAUUGCUGACUUCACAUCAGUUGAGGAAAAAACUGAAGAGGCAGAAGUUGAAGAGAUAUCUGAAGAAUCAUCUAUUGAAGAGAAAUCUGAAGAAUCAAGGGUUUUGGAGAAACCAGAAGAACCAUCGGUUGAGAAAAUACCUGAAAAACCGACAAUCGAAGAGAAACCUGAAACAUCAACCGUGGGAGAAAAGUUUGAAGAACCAUCAGUUGAGGAGACGAUCAAAGAACCAAAAAUUGAGGAGAAACCUGAAAAACAAGUAAUUGAAGAAACACCCAAGGAACUAGCGUUAGAAGAGAUACAUAAAGAACCAGCAAUGAAAGAGGAGAAACCUGAAAAGGUAACUCUUUUGGAAAAGAAUAUGCUAAUUGUGGACUCAAACACCAAAACUGGCAGUGAAAUUCCAUGCAAUACCAAUAAUGAUGAUGCUCACUCCCCAGACAUU
rnacentral:misc_RNA from 1 species